AUACCCUUUUUGUCCUUUUAGAUAAAAUAAAGUAUAAUAUUUAUUCUUAUCAGUUUAAAAUUUGAUAUGUGGAUCAUAUGUUCUAUUUGAUAUUGAAUUUAAUUUUUAUGGGUAUCAAAUAUAAUUGCGUGCCGUUGCAACGUGCGAGCAUUGGACUUGUCAGCACCAGUUUUUCUAGUUCACGCUCC
rfam:Zea mays cultivar B73 chromosome 4, whole genome shotgun sequence.